GUCUUUAGAAGUGGGUUGGACCCAUUGAGCUAGUGGGCUCCGACAGCCGGGAAAGAGUAACACAGAGGAAGAGCAGUUCCGAGAACUAAGAAGAUUCCAUUUGGCUCUCCCUGUGGCCCCAGUAAGGAAGAUGUUACCAGUUCCAUUCUGCAGCCGUGAAACUGGAAAACAAAACAGAACAGUGAAACGGAUGAUAGUCACGCUGUGGCCCCUUCUUCCCCUGGGAGACCUAGAACCAGCACCUGCUAUAUACCGGACCUAAUGCUACUUCUAUCUCAAAACUGAACUGUUCCUUUGGGGCUAUUUGAACGCUAACUACUGACCAGAUAUUUGACCAUGUUAAGGAAUUAUUGUUUCUUUCUGUUUUUUGU